CAGUCGCCGCGGGAACACAGAGGGUGCGAGCGUUAAUCGGAUUUACUGGGCGUAAAGCGUGCGUAGGCGGCUUUUUAAGUCGGAUGUGAAAUCCCUGAGCUUAACUUAGGAAUUGCAUUCGAUACUGGGAAGCUAGAGUAUGGGAGAGGAUGGUAGAAUUCCAGGUGUAGCGGUGAAAUGCGUAGAGAUCUGGAGGAAUACCGAUGGCGAAGGCAGCCAUCUGGCCUAAUACUGACGCUGAGGUACGAAAGCAUGGGGAGCAAACAGGAUUAGAUACCCGGGUAGUCCCUGUCUCUUAUAC
rnacentral:rRNA from 1 species